AUUCCAUAAUAAGGGCACCCUCGUAAUAACUCUUUGUACCUUUCCCAUGCCUCAUAUAGGGACUCAUCAUUCAUUUAUUGGAAGGCAGUGACCUCAUUCCUCAACUU
rfam:Gossypium raimondii Chr01_contig_820, whole genome shotgun sequence.